AGUGAACGCUGGCGGUAGGCCUAACACAUGCAAGUCGAACGGCAGCACAGUAAGAGCUUGCUCUUACGGGUGGCGAGUGGCGGACGGGUGAGGAAUACAUCGGAAUCUACUUUUUCGUGGGGGAUAACGUAGGGAAACUUACGCUAAUACCGCAUACGACCUACGGGUGAAAGCAGGGGAUCUUCGGACCUUGCGCGAUUGAAUGAGCCGAUGUCGGAUUAGCUAGUUGGCGGGGUAAAGGCCCACCAAGGCGACGAUCCGUAGCUGGUCUGAGAGGAUGAUCGGCCACACUGGAACUUAGCCACGGUCCAGACUCCUGCGGGAGGCAGCAGUGGGGAAUAUUGGACAAUGGUCGCAAGCCUGAUCCAGCCAUACCGCGUGGGUGAAGAAGGCCUUCGGGUUGUAAAGCCCUUUUGUUGGGAAAGAACAGCAGCAGGUUAAGACCCCGCUGUUCUGACGGUACCCAAAGAAUAAGCACCGGCUAACUUCGUG
rnacentral:rRNA from 1 species